rnacentral:lncRNA from 1 species
UUCAGCCAUUAAACCCCUGACCUAAACAUUCAUCUACCUCCACAAAUAAACCACCGUAACCUUCUGCUCCCCAUCAAACUUGCACCGCCGACACCCCCUGUUCACCUAUCUCCCAACCGCCGUACCCCCUUAUCUCACCACCUAUACCGCCGAUAAACCCUCAUCCACCCGCCAUUACACCACCUAGACCACCCUCGUGCUCGAUUGCUUUCACCAAACAAAACCCCCAUAUCAAAAUCAUCACCUGGCCGCUGAUUUGCUCGAUUUGGGACCUACCUACACUCGAAAAAAGCAAAUUUGAAUUUUUCUUUGCAAAUAACAACGAUUCAGAUUGAAGAUGGUUUUGUUUAUGAAAAUGGUGCUGAUGAACUGCAGAUUGAAGAUGAAGAAUCGAUGAAAAUGAUGAUGAUUUGACUUUGUAUGGUGCUGAUGAACUGCAGAUUGAAGAUGAAGAUUGAAGGGGUUGAAGAUGAAGAACUGAUGAUGAUGAUGAUUAUUGAUAUGGCGGUGGUGGCAUUCGAUCGGAACCGAUGAAGAUGAUGAUUAUUGAUUUGAUUUUGU